ACAAGCUAUAAAGGGCCAACGGUGGAUGCCUUGGCACCUACGACCGAUGAAAGACGUAAGUGGCUGCGAUAAGCCUCGGGGAGCCGCCGACUAGGCCUUGAUCCGAGGAUUUCUGAAUGGGGAAACCCGGCGCCCGUAAAGGGGCGUCACUCCUGAAUGAACACAUAGUUCAGGUAGAGGGAACUGCGGGAACUGAAACAUCUAAGUACCGCAAGGAACGGAAAGUAACAACGACUCCCAGAGUAGCGGCGAGCGAAAUGGGAUGAGCCUAAACCGAGGUGGUGCAAAGCCUGACGGCGUUGCCAUCUCGGGGUUGUGGGAUCUACUUGGUGGUGCGUCAGCGCCACCGAAGAGUUACAAAAUGUUGAUGUAGUGGAAGCAGUCAGGAAAGCUGCGCCGUAGAGGGUAAUAGCCCCGUACACGAAACGUCAACGUCUCUUCUGUAGACACCCGAGUAGCACCGGGCCCGUGAAACCUGGUGUGAAUCUGCGAGGACCAUCUCGUAAGGCUAAGUAUCCGUAGGUGACCGAUAGUGCACGAGUACCGUGAGGGAAAGGUGAAAAGUACCCCGGGAGGGGAGUGAAAUAGUACCUGAAACCGUUGGUCUACAAUCAGUCGAAGCCUUAAGGGGCGACGGCGUGCCUUUUGAAGAAUGAGCCAACGAGUUACGGUGUGUGGCGAGGUUAACCCGUGAGGGGAAGCCGGAGCGAAAGCGAGUCUGAAUAGGGCGUUCAGUCGCAUGCUGUAGACCCGAAGCCGAGUGAUCUAGCCAUGGGCAGUGGGAAGCGGGGGUAAGACCCCGUGGACGCGCGAACCCACCUAGGCUGAAAACUGGGGGGAUGACCUGUGGUUAGGGGUGAAAGGCCAAGCAAACUCGGUGAUAGCUGGUUCUCCGCGAAAUGCAUUUAGGUGCAGCGUUGCGUGUUCAGCCAUGGAGGUAGAGCUACUGGAUGGGUUAGGGGACCUACAAGUUUACCGACCCCAACCAAACUCCGAAUACCAUGGCUCCAGAGCGCAGCAGUGAGACCUAGGGGGAUGAGCUUCUAUGGUCGAGAGGGAAACAGCCCAGACCGCCAGCUAAGGCCCCUAAUUCUGGACUAAGUGGUAAACGAUGUGAGACUGCUCAGACAGCCAGGAGGUUGGCUUAGAAGCAGCCACCCUUUAAAGAGUGCGUAAUAGCUCACUGGUCGAGUGGUCUUGCGCGGACAAUGUAACGGGGCUCAAGUCCAGAGCCGAAGCUGCGGAUGCAGUAGCAAUACUGCGUGGUAGCGGAGCGUCGAUCUUGCACUGAAGCGACGGGAGAACCCGUCGUGGAGCGUGGUCGAGUGCGAAUGUUGGCAUGAGUAGCGAAAGAGGAGUGAGAAUCUCCUCCGCCGAAUAUCUAAGGGUUCCUGGGGAAGGUUCGUCCGCCCAGGGUUAGUCGGGAGCUAACGCGAGGCCGAAAGGCGUAGUGGAUGCACAACUGGUUGAUAUUCCAGUACCGACAGGAGCACGCCCGAACCAAUUUAUUGUUGCUAAGAGGCUGCUUGCCUUCGGGUAAGCGAAUCGACCCACGAUGAGGCGGUUAGCAAUGGAGUGACGCAGGAAGAUAGGUGAUCCCAGGCGUUGGUUGUCCUGGGGGAAGUGCGUAGGGCGGGGCCCAGGUAAAUCCGGUCCCCAUGAAGCCUGAGACACGAUCCCGAGUCGUUCAGACGAAGUCAUUGAUUCUCUACUGCCAAGAAAAGCUUCUAGCGAGUUCUCCUGUUGCCCGUACCCUAAACCGACACAGGUAGAUAGGUCGAGAAGACCAAGGCGAGUGAGUGAACUGUGGUUAAGGAACUCGGCAAAAUACCUCUGUAACUUCGGGAUAAAGAGGGCCCCUAGGGUGACCGGACUUGCUCCGUGAGCUUGAUGGGGUGGCACAAACCAGAGGGAAGCGACUGUUUACUAAAAACACAGGAGCGUGCGAAGCCGUAAGGCGAUGUAUACGCUCUGACGCCUGCCCGGUGCUGGAAGGUUACGGGGAGCGGUUAGACUUCGGUCGAAGCUGCGAACUUAAGCCCCAGUAAACGGCGGCCGUAACUAUAACGGUCCUAAGGUAGCGAAAUUCCUUGUCGGGUAAGUUCCGACCUGCACGAAUGGCGU
rnacentral:rRNA from 1 species